rnacentral:rRNA from 1 species
CGCUGACGAGUGGCGGACGGGUGAGUAAUGUCUGGGAAACUGCCUGAUGGAGGGGGAUAACUACUGGAAACGGUAGCUAAUACCGCAUAACGUCGCAAGACCAAAGAGGGGGACCUUCGGGCCUCUUGCCAUCGGAUGUGCCCAGAUGGGAUUAGCUAGUAGGUGGGGUAACGGCUCACCUAGGCGACGAUCCCUAGCUGGUCUGAGAGGAUGACCAGCCACACUGGAACUGAGACACGGUCCAGACUCCUACGGGAGGCAGCAGUGGGGAAUAUUGCACAAUGGGCGCAAGCCUGAUGCAGCCAUGCCGCGUGUAUGAAGAAGGCCUUCGGGUUGUAAAGUACUUUCAGCGGGGAGGAAGGGAGUAAAGUUAAUACCUUUGCUCAUUGACGUUACCCGCAGAAGAAGCACCGGCUAACUCCGUGCCAGCAGCCGCGGUAAUACGGAGGGUGCAAGCGUUUAAUCGGAAUUACUGGGCGUAAAGCGCACGCAGGCGGUUUGUUAAGUCAGAUGUGAAAUCCCCGGGCUCAACCUGGGAACUGCAUCUGAUACUGGCAAGCUUGAGUCUCGUAGAGGGGGGUAGAAUUCCAGGUGUAGCGGUGAAAUGCGUAGAGAUCUGGAGGAAUACCGGUGGCGAAGGCGGCCCCCUGGACGAAGACUGACGCUCAGGUGCGAAAGCGUGGGGAGCAAACAGGAUUAGAUACCCUGGUAGUCCACGCCGUAAACGAUGUCGACUUGGAGGUUGUGCCCUUGAGGCGUGGCUUCCGGAGCUAACGCGUUAAGUCGACCGCCUGGGGAGUACGGCCGCAAGGUUAAAACUCAAAUGAAUUGACGGGGGCCCGCACAAGCGGUGGAGCAUGUGGUUUAAUUCGAUGCAACGCGAAGAACCUUACCUGGUCUUGACAUCCACGGAAGUUUUCAGAGAUGAGAAUGUGCCUUCGGGAACCGUGAGACAGGUGCUGCAUGGCUGUCGUCAGCUCGUGUUGUGAAAUGUUGGGUUAAGUCCCGCAACGAGCGCAACCCUUAUCCUUUGUUGCCAGCGGUCCGGCCGGGAACUCAAAGGAGACUGCCAGUGAUAAACUGGAGGAAGGUGGGGAUGACGUCAAGUCAUCAUGGCCCUUACGACCAGGGCUACACACGUGCUACAAUGGCGCAUACAAAGAGAAGCGACCUCGCGAGAGCAAGCGGACCUCAUAAAGUGCGUCGUAGUCCGGAUUGGAGUCUGCAACUCGACUCCAUGAAGUCGGAAUCGCUAGUAAUCGUGGAUCAGAAUGCCACGGUGAAUACGUUCCCGGGCCUUGUACACACCGCCCGUCACACCAUGGGAGUGGGUUGCAAAA